rnacentral:rRNA from 1 species
UACGUAGGGUGCAAGCGUUGUCCGGAAUUAUUGGGCGUAAAGCGCACGUAGGCGGCCUCAUAAGUCGGAUGUGAAAUCCCACGGCUCAACCGUGGAAGUGCAUCCGAAACUGCGAGGCUCGAGUAUGGAAGAGGGUCGCAGAAUUCCCGGUGUAGAGGUGAAAUUCGUAGAUAUCGGGAGGAAUACCAGUGGCGAAGGCGGCGACCUGGGCCAAUACUGACGCUGAGGUGCGAAAGCGUGGGGAGCAAACAGG